rnacentral:rRNA from 1 species
GACGAACGCUGGCGGCGUGCUUAACACAUGCAAGUCGUACGGUAAGGCCCUUUCGGGGGUACACGAGUGGCGAACGGGUGAGUAACACGUGAGUAACCUGCCCACAACUUUGGGAUAACGCUAGGAAACUGGUGCUAAUACUGGAUAUGUGCUCCUGCUGCAUGGUGGGGGUUGGAAAGCUCCGGCGGUUGUGGAUGGACUCGCGGCCUAUCAGCUUGUUGGUGGGGUAGUGGCCUACCAAGGCGGCGACGGGUAGCCGGCCUGAGAGGGUGACCGGCCACAAUGGGGAUGGAGUAAGGGCCAGACUCCUACGGGGGGCAGCAGGGGGGAAUAUUGCACAAUGGGCGCAAGCCUGAUGCAGCAACGCCGCGUGCGGGAUAACGGCCUUCGGGUUGUAAACCGCUUUCAGCAGGGACGAAGCUUUUUGUGACGGUACCUGCAGAAGAAGCACCGGCUAACUACGUG